AUUGAACGCUGGCGGCAUGCCUUACACAUGCAAGUCGAACGGCAGCAUGAUCUAGCUUGCUCGAUUGAUGGCGAGUGGCGAACGGGUGAGUAAUACAUCGGAACGUGCCCUGUAGUGGGGGAUAACUAGUCGAAAGAUUAGCUAAUACCGCAUACGACCUGAGGGUGAAAGUGGGGGACCGCAAGGCCUCAUGCUAUAGGAGCGGCCGAUGUCUGAUUAGCUAGUUGGUGAGGUAAAGGCUCACCAAGGCGACGAUCAGUAGCUGGUCUGAGAGGACGAUCAGCCACACUGGGACUGAGACACGGCCCAGACUCCUACGGGAGGCAGCAGUGGGGAAUUUUGGACAAUGGGCGAAAGCCUGUUCCAGCAAUGCCGCGUGUGUGAAGAAGGCCUUCGGGUUGUAAAGCACUUUUGUCCGGAAAGAAAUGGCUCUGGUUAAUACCUGGGGUCGAUGACGGUACCGGAAGAAUAAGGACCGGCUAACUACGUG
rnacentral:rRNA from 1 species